rnacentral:rRNA from 1 species
GUCCUUGCCGUAAACGAUGUGGAUUAGGUGUUGGGGGUGUCGAUCCCCCGGCGCCGCAGUUAACACAUUAAAUCCACCACCUGGGGAGUACGGUCGCAAGACUGAAACUCAAAGAAAUUGACGGGGACCCGCACAAGCGGUGGAGCAUGUGGUUUAAUUCGAGGCUACGCGAAGAACCUUACCCAGGCUUGACAUGGUUUGGACAACGCAUGAAAGUGCGUCUUCUCGCAAGAGACCUUACCACAGGUGCUGCAUGGCUGUCGU